AGAUUGAACGCUGGCGGCAGGCCUAACACAUGCAAGUCGAGCGGUAGAGAGGUGCUUGCAUCUCUUGAGAGCGGCGGACGGGUGAGUAAUGCCUAGGAAUCUGCCUAGUGGUGGGGGAUAACGUUCGGAAACGGACGCUAAUACCGCAUACGUCCUACGGGAGAAAGCGGGGGACCUUCGGGCCUCGCGCCAUUAGAUGAGCCUAGGUCGGAUUAGCUAGUUGGUGAGGUAAUGGCUCACCAAGGCGACGAUCCGUAACUGGUCUGAGAGGAUGAUCAGUCACACUGGAACUGAGACACGGUCCAGACUCCUACGGGAGCAGCGAGUGGGGAAUAUUGGACAAGUGGGG
rnacentral:rRNA from 1 species